ACUCAAAUUCAUUCUCAAAGUCUUUUCAUUAGGUUUUCUUUCUCUCUUUCUAUCUACCUCAAGCUUUUUCCUCUUUCUCCAACUCACGGGCGGUUUGAAAUCUGCCCCAGCUUCCAUCUUCAACCUCUCCAUCUUCUAUCUUCAACCUCUGCAUGGCUCGUCCGAUGAAAAAAAUUAAGGACAUCAACGAUUCUGAAUCACGGGUGAGGACUUUUUUCCAGAUCCGACCCUUUUAUGGGAUUAGGGUUUCAGGAGAUCUCAGACGCAAGUUCUUUUCCAAUAUGAAUUUUGUAGAAAGUGGCGGUUUAAGUCGGUGAUGCAGCCUGUUAUAACAAGUUGAAGCUUUGAUUAAUGAUUUGAAGGAAAACGGAUUGUUCGAUAUUAAAGGAAACAAAGGGAGAGGGAGGUCAAAGGGAGCUGACUCUGAACAUGUCUGAACUGGCUCGGUUUCUACGGGAACCAGUUUGUUAUUCGUUUCGAUUGAGUUUUAUGCAGGGCUGCAGUUGUGUUCAUGUGAUGAUGGUUAAAUUGGCAUGCUGAUUUUAUGGAUUAUGCAGGGUGAGAUUGAGUUACCCUUCUAAGGGUUAGUUUCAUUUGAUUUUCUGUUGUUCUUGGUUUUCAGAAGCAGUGAAUUCAUUUUUUCCGCUCCUCUUUUAACUUAUAAAAAUGUGCUCGGUUCAAAUGUUGCUGCUGGAUGAAAGUCAACUACCUUCCCUGUGAUAUCUCUCUGCCUGAUCCCCGUUUUUAUAUCAGUAUACUUUAUAUGUUUGUAGAAUCUGAUCCAUGUUGGAAAAAUGAUCUUUAUUUUUAUUUUUAUAAAGUUUUACACUUUCAAAGAUGUCUUUUCCUCAACAUGGUCCACAUUCUGUAGUUUAGUUUGGCUCCAAAAAAAUGCUACUGAACCUGAAGUACCAAAUAAGCUGACUCAUUGACAUGCAUGAGAUCCUAUGCAAAAUAUUGAUUUAGCUAAAUGUAACUUUUCUUCUAUAUUUCAUUAUGGUGUAUCAUUUAUAGACACUUUAUCAAACCAUAAGGAUGAGACAGUUAAAAAAUAA